UGCGGAGGGUGCGAGCGUUGUCCGGAAUCAUUGGGCGUAAAGGGCGCGUAGGUGGCCCGGUCAGUUCGUGGUGAAAGCGCGGGGCUCAACCCUGCGUCGGCCAUGAAUACUGCCGCGGCUGGAGCCCUGUAGAGGCAGGCGGAAUUCCGGGUGUAGCGGUGGAAUGCGUAGAGAUCCGGAAGAACACCUGAGGCGAAGGCGGCUUGCUGGGCAUGAUCUGACGCUGAGGCGCGAAAGCGUGGGGAGCAAACAGG
rnacentral:rRNA from 1 species